GACGAACGCUGGCGGCGUGCCUAAUACAUGCAAGUUGAGCGCUGAAGGUUGGUACUUGUACCAACUGGAUGAGCAGCGAAUGGGUGAGUAACGCGUGGGGAAUCUGCGUUUGAGCGGGGGACAACAUUUGGAAACGAAUGCUAAUACCGCAUAAAAACUUUAAACACAAGAUUUAAGUUUGAAAGAUGCAAUUGCAUCACUCAAAGAUGAUCCCGCGUUGUAUUAGUUAGUUGGUGAGGAAAAGGCUCACCAAGGCGAUGAUACAUAGCCGACCUGAUAGGGUGAUCGGCCACAUUGGGACUGGUACACGGCCCAAACUCCUACGGGAGGCAGCAGUAGGGAAUCUUCGGCAAUGGACGAAAGUCUGACCGAGCAACGCCGCGUGAGUGAAGAAGGUUUUCGGAUCGUAAAACGCUGUUGGUAGAGAAGAACGUUGGUUAGAGUGGAAAGCUCAUCAAGUGACGGUAACUUCCCAGAAAGCGACGGCUAACUACGUG
rnacentral:rRNA from 1 species